rnacentral:lncRNA from 1 species
UACGGCAAAGUUGUCGGCAUAUAUUUCCAUCUAUGCCUACGGCAAAGCCGUAGGCAUAGAUAUGCCACGUGGCGAGCCCUGGUAACUCCUGGGCUUAUAUAUGCCGACGGCUUUGCCAUAGGCAUAGUUUUUUCCCCCUGUUUUCUCUUUUCCAAUUCAUUUGACAGCAUUUCAAAACAGAACAAUAUGAAAUUAUGCAGAAAUAUGACAGUUCAUCAUCCAAACAUACUCAAGUUCACCAUCAUCAUCUAAACAUACUCAAGUUCAUCACAUCAUCUAAAGAUCAUCACCGACUCAAGUUCAUGAACAUAAAAGUAGUGCAAGACAUCAAACAUCAUAAAAGUAGGAAUAUGAAAGGCAUGGCACGACGGCCACAUGCACAGAAUCAUCAAGCAAGACCACCUCCGCCAAAACCACGACCUCCGACAAAACCGCCUCCGCCAAAACCACCACCACCUCCGCCAAAACCGCCAUCGCGACCACCACCACUCUGCCAGAUCGGAGUGACUGGGGUCGGCAGAGCAGGAGUCGUGCCACCGGUCCCCUACAUGUUUCAGAAAAGAUUCUAACGGUAAAUAUGAUAUGAUAGUGUUGAAUGAACGAGAACUAGUUUGUCAGUAGUUAGGCAAAUGUACUAACCGGACCAUCACUGCCUAGUGCCACCCAUUCAUCGAACGUGGGCACGUGUGGGGGUUCUCCCGCAGGUGGUGGUGGGGGUCCCAUUUGUGGUGGACCCGUGCGGUUACUCCAAGACGCCAACAUAGCUUAAAUGUUAGUUAAACAAGCAAACUAGAAGAUCACAAGGAAUGAAAGUGCAAAAAUUUAGCUUGGUUUUAAGAGG